CGGGAGGCAGCAGUGAGGAAUAUUGGACAAUGGGCGAAAGCCUGAUCCAGCAAUACCGCGUGAGUGAAGAAGGCCUUCGGGUUGUAAAGCUCUUUCAGCAGGGAAAAUAAUGAUGGUACCUGCAAAAGAAGUUCCGGCUAACUCCGUGCCAGCAGCCGCGGUAAUACGGAGGGAACUAGCGUUGUUCGGAUUUACUGGGCGUAAAGGGCGCGUAGGCGGUUUGUUAAGUUAGAAGUGAAAGCCCAGGGCUUAACCCUGGAACUGCUUCUAAAACUGGCAGACUAGAGUGCGGGAGAGGAUAGUGGAAUUCCUAGUGUAGAGGUGAAAUUCUUAGAUAUUAGGAGGAACACCAGUGGCGAAGGCGACUAUCUGGAACGUUACUGACGCUGAGGCGCGAAAGCGUGGGGAGCAAACAGGAUUAGAUACCCGGGU
rnacentral:rRNA from 1 species